AGUGAACGCUGGCGGUAGGCCUAACACAUGCAAGUCGAACGGCAGCACAGAGGAGCUUGCUCCUUGGGUGGCGAGUGGCGGACGGGUGAGGAAUACAUCGGAAUCUACUCUGUCGUGGGGGAUAACGUAGGGAAACUUACGCUAAUACAGCAUACGACCUACGGGUGAAAGCAGGGGACCUUAGGGCCUUGCGCGAUUGAAUGAGCCGAUGUCGGAUUAGCUAGUUGGCGGGGUAAAGGCCCACCAAGGCGACGAUCCGUAGCUGGUCUGAGAGGAUGAUCAGCCGCACUGGAACUGAGACACGGUCCAGACUCCUACGGGAGGCGGCAGUGGGGAAUAUUGGACAAUGGGCGCAAGCCUGAUCCAGCCAUACCGCGUGGGUGAAGAAGGCCUUCGGGUUGUAAAGCCCUUUUGUUGGGAAAGAAAUCCAGCUGGCUAAUACCCGGUUGGGAUGACGGUACCCAAAGAAUAAGCACCGGCUAACUUCGUGCCAGCCGCCGCAGUAA
rnacentral:rRNA from 1 species